rnacentral:rRNA from 1 species
AACGAACGCUGGCGGCAGGCCUAACACAUGCAAGUCGAGCGCCCGGAUUUAUCCGGGAGCGGCGCACGGGUGAGUAACGCGUGGGAACAUGCCCUGAAGCACGGAACAACAUGGGGAAACCUUGGCUAAUACAGUAUACGCCCUGAGGGGGCAAGAUUUAUCGGUUUGGGGUUGGCCCGGUUUGGAUUAGCGGGUGGGUGUGGUAACGGGGCACCAAGGCGACGAUCCAUAACUGGUCUGAGAGGAUGACCAGUCACACGGGGACUGAGACACGGCCCAGACUCCUACGGGAGGCAGCAGUGGGGAAUAUUGGACAAUGGGCGAAAGCCUGAUCCAGCCAUGCCGCGUGAGUGAAGAAGGCCUUCGGGUUGUAAAGCUCUUUCAGCGGGGACGAUGAUGACGGUACCCGCAGAAGAAGCCCCGGCUAACUUCGUGCCAGCCGCCGCGGUAA